UACGGGGGGGGCAAGCGUUGUUCGGAAUUAUUGGGCGUAAAGGGCUCGUAGGCGGCCAACUAAGUCAGACGUGAAAUCCCUCGGCUUAACCGGGGAACUGCAUCUGAUACUGGAUGGCUUGAGUUCGGGAGAGGGAUGCGGAAUUCCAGGUGUAGCGGUGAAAUGCGUAGAUAUCUGGAGGAACACCGGUGGCGAAGGCGGCAUCCUGGACCGACACUGACGCUGAGGAGCGAAAGCCAGGGGAGCAAACGGG
rnacentral:rRNA from 1 species